rnacentral:rRNA from 1 species
GACGAACGCUGGCGGCGCGCCUAACACAUGCAAGUCGAACGGAGCUGAGAGAAGCUUGCUUUUCUUAGCUUAGUGGCGAACGGGUGAGUAACGCGUGAGUAACCUGCCCUGGAGUGGGGGACAACAGUUGGAAACGACUGCUAAUACCGCAUAAGCCCACGAUCCGGCAUCGGAUUGAGGGAAAAGGAUUUAUUCGCUUCAGGAUGGACUCGCGUCCAAUUAGCUAGUUGGUGAGGUAACGGCCCACCAAGGCGACGAUUGGUAGCCGGACUGAGAGGUUGAACGGCCACAUUGGGACUGAGACACGGCCCAGACUCCUACGGGAGGCAGCAGUGGGGGAUAUUGCACAAUGGGGGAAACCCUGAUGCAGCGACGCCGCGUGGAAGAAGAAGGUUUUCGGAUUGUAAACUCCUGUCGUUAGGGACGAUAAUGACGGUACCUAACAAGAAAGCACCGGCUAACUACGUG